rnacentral:lncRNA from 1 species
ACUUUCACAAGAAUGAAAGCCAUUGGUGCUAAUGUCAUCACUUAACAGAAGGUUAUCUCCUCUGCUCCUGCUCGACGCACAGCAUUGGCCGGAUGUCAUUAUAAUUUCCCAGAGAGUAUUUACAUUUGUUUCUGCAAGGCACCUGAGGAUACCAGCAAUCUCGGAUGAAGUAUUAAGUUCAUUGGAUCAUGGUGGAGGCUCUGUGAAAUCCCACCUGCUUCCAGUUCAUCUAGUUCUAAGAAGCAGCCAGUGAGCGGAGAAGAGGAUCAGUUAUUAGGAGUGCCUCCCUGAGUACCCACCCUCCCCUAAAUCCUGGUUUGGUACAAUAAAGCCAAAGCAAAAGAUCUACUCUUUCUGAAUGUGCCACAUUUGUCAACUACAUUUUCAGGGCAGUGUAACUGCUCUGCUCGUGAGUUCAGGCCGAUAGCACCGAGCAC